CGGCAGGAAUGGACAGUGGGAGACGGCAGCAUGGAAUCCUCACGGAAAAAAACUCUUCUGAGUGCUCAUAAAACACCCCCGGGGACAAGAGAGCUGGGAGAGAGGAGCUUUCCGGGCUGUCCCAAACAGCAGGAAUGGCCUGAACUUCAUGGAUCUCCUGACCAAGGCCUUUGGGAGUUCUGACCAAGACCUGUUUCCUUUGAGAGGAGGGAAUUUGAAGAUUUUUAAAACUUUCUUGCCAUGAAUCUGACCCAAACCAGCUGCCAGGUAUUUGCUGUGCAUGGAGAGAGCGUGUGGAGGUGGAAUCCCUGUCCCUGGAGGUGUCCGAGGAGCUCCUGGGCCGGUGACAAGGUGGGGAUUGGGCACAGCUUGGACUCCAUGAUCCUGGAGGGCUUUUCCAACCUCAAAGAUUUUGGGAUUCUAUUGCUGUACCUCAGGUGAUGAUGCUGGACCUUCAUCCAGGGCUUCCCACAGGAUGGAUCUCAUGGCAGCCAUCCCAAAUGUUCCGUUUGGAAAAAGAAGAAGAAAUUUGGACCAGGCCAGCUCCCAAAUCCCUCUCCUGAGGCAGCUGAGUAGAUUCCAGCCCUGCCAGCAUUCCAGUCACCUCCUUGCCCCUGUUCCAGGAGCUCCAGCAGCUCCGUGUGCACCCAGGGAAGGACGGACACGCGCUGGGGUGACGCGAUGGGACAUCUGAGAUGGCCAAAAAGGACGAGUUUAUCUCUGCCAAGGCUCUGGGGUGCUCUGCUGUAUGGAAUGGGAUUCCUGGGUGUGGAAAUAAAUGGAUUAAUGCUUCACCAGGCAUUCUGGCAGGCUUGGGUGAGGUUUUGGGUGGAUGUGUUUAAUAAUUCCUGUUUAACCCUAAACCAGUCAUGUCUUGGAGAGGGACUUUGGACAAGGGGAAUGGCCUGAGGAUGAAGGAGGGCAGGGUUAGAUAGGAUAUAAGGGAGAAAUUCCUCCCUGUGAGGGUAGGAAAGCCCUGGAAUAGAAUUCCAGAGAAGCUGCGGCUGCCCCUGGAUACAUGGAAGUGUCCAAGGCCAGGUUGGAGAACCCUGGGAUAGUGGGA